ensembl:lncRNA
GGCUUUGGGGUCUUCCAUCUUUGGGGUCUUCCAUCUUUGGGAUCUUCCACCAUUGAGAUCUUCUCCCAUUGGGAUCUUCUCCCAUUGGGAUCUUCCCCCAUUGGGAUCUUCCAUCAUUGGGGUCUUCCCCCCAUUGGGGUCUUCCCCCAUUGGGAUCUUCCAUCCAUGGGUUUGGGAUCUUCUCCUCUUGGUGCCCCAUGGGGUUGGGAUCCCGGUGUCUUUGGGGUCUCCAUUUUUGGGGGAUCCCAAUGUCAUUGGGUUUGGGAUCUUCCAUCCAUGGGGUUGGGAUCUUCCACCAUUGGGGUCUUCCAUCCCUGGUGCCCCAUGGUUGUGGGAUCUCAGUGGUUUUGGGGUCUCCAUCUUUGGGGGUUCCCGAUGUCGUUGGGUUUGGGAUCUUCUCCUCUUGGUGCCCCAUGGGGUUGUGGGAUCCGGGUGGCUUUGGGGUCUCCAUUUUUGGGGGAUCCCAAUCAUGUUGGGUUUGGGAUCUUCCCCCAUUGGGAUCUUCCAUCAUUGGUAUCUUCCACCAUUGGGGUCUUCCAUCCAUGGGUUUGGGGUCUUCCACCAUUGGGGUCUUCCCCCAUUGGGAUCUUCCCCCAUUGGGGUCUUCCCCCAUUGGGAUCUUCCCCCCAUUGGGAUCUUCCCCCAUUGGGAUCUUCCACCCACGGGUUUGGGGUCUUCUUCUCUUGGUGCCCCAUGGGGUUGUGGGAUCCGGGUGUCUUUGGGGUCUCCAUUUUUGGGGGAUCCCAAUGUCAUUGGGUUUGGGGUCUUCCCCCAUUGGGGUCUUCCACCAUUGGGGUCUUCCACCAUUGGGAUCUUCCACCAUUGGGAUCUUCCAUCCAUGGGUUUGGGGUCUUCCACCAUUGGGGUCUUCCAUCCAUGGGUUUGGGAUCUUCCAUCAUUGGGAUCUUCCCCCAUUGGGGUCUUCCGUCCAUGGGUUUGGGGUCUUCCCCCCUUGGGAUCUUCCCCCCUCGGGAUCUUCCAUCAUUGGGGUCUUCCAUCCAUGGGUUUGGGAUCUUCCAUCAUUGGGAUCUUCCACCAUUGGGGUCUUCCAUCCACGGGUUUGGGGUCUUCCCCCAUUGGGAUCUUCCCCCAUUGGGAUCUUCCCCCAUUGGGAUCUUCCAUCAUUGGGGUCUUCCACCAUUGGGGUCUUCCACCAUUGGGGUCUUCCACCAUUGGGAUCUUCCAUUCAUGGGUUUGGGAUCUUCCAUCAUUGGGAUCUUCCAUCCACGGGUUUGGGUUCUUCCAUCAUUGGGAUCUUCCCCCAUUGGGAUCUUCCCCCAUUGGGAUCUUCCCCCAUUGGGGUCUUCCAUCAUUGGGAUCUUCCACCCAUGGGUUUGGGAUCUUCUCCUCUUGGUGCCCCAUGGGGUUUUGGGAUCCAGGUGUCUUUGGGGUCUCCAUUUUUGGGGGAUCCCAAUCUUGUUGGGUUUGGGAUCUUCCCCCAUUGGGCUCUUCCAUCAUUGGGGUCUUCCACCAUUGGGAUCGUCCACCAUUGGGGUCUUCCAUCCACGGGUUUGGGGUCUUCCCCCCUUGGGAUCUUCCCCCAUUGGGAUCUUCCAUCCAUGGGUUUGGGGUCUUCCACCAUUGGGGUCUUCCAUCCAUGGGUUUGGGGUCUUCCAUCUUUGGGAUCUUUCAUCCUUGGGGUCUUCCCCCAUUGGGAUCUUCCCCCAUUGGGGUCUUCCAUCCACGGGUUUGGGGUCUUCCACCAUUGGGGUCUUCCAUCCAUGGGUUUGGGGUCUUCCAUCUUUGGGAUCUUUCAUCCUUGGGGUCUUCCCCCAUUGGGGUCUUCCCCCAUUGGGAUCUUCCCCCAUUGGGAUCUUCCACCCACGGGUUUGGGAUCUUCUCCUCUUGGUGCCCCAUGGGGUUGGGAUCUGGGUGGCUUUGGGGUCUCCAUUUUUGGGG